GUAGUGGGGGACAACGUCUCGAAAGGGACGCUAAUACCGCAUACGUCCUACGGGAGAAAGUGGGGGCUCUUCGGACCUCACGCUAUCAGAUGAGCCUAGGUCGGAUUAGCUAGUUGGUGAGGUAAUGGCUCACCAAGGCGACGAUCCGUAACUGGUCUGAGAGGAUGAUCAGUCACACUGGAACUGAGACACGGUCCAGACUCUAUACGGGAGGCAGCAGUGGGGAAUAUUGGACAAUGGGCGAAAGCCUGAUCCAGCCAUGCCGCGUGUGUGAAGAAGGUCUUCGGAUUGUAAAGCACUUUAAGUUGGGAGGAAGGGUUGUACGUUAAUACCGUGCAAUUUUGACGUUACCGACAGAAUAAGCACCGGCUAACUCUGUGCCAGCAGCCGCGGUAAUACAGAGGGUGCAAGCGUUAAUCGGAAUUACUGGGCGUAAAGCGCGCGUAGGUGGUUUGUUAAGUUGGAUGUGAAAUCCCCGGGCUCAACCUGGGAACUGCAUCCAAAACUGGCAAGCUAGAGUAGGGCAGAGGGUGGUGGAAUU
rnacentral:rRNA from 1 species